GUCUUUUUGAUUAUAAUUUAAAGUCUAAUCUGCCCACUGAUAAUAUUAAAGGGCUGCAGUAUAAUGACUGUACAAAGGUAGCAUAAUCAAUAGUUUUUUAAUUGGAAACUUGUAUGAAGGAUUUGAUGAAAUAUUAACUGUCUCUUAUUUAUUUUUAGAAAUUUAUUUUUUAGUAAAAAAGCUAAAAUAAUUUUAAAAGACGAGAAGACCCUAUAGAGUUUUAUAUUUAAUUUUAUUUUAAAAUUAUAUUAAAAUUUUUAUUAAAAUAAAAUUAAAUAUUAUAUUGGGGUGAUAGAAAAAUUUAAUAAACUUUUUUUAAAAAUUAAACAUAAAUAAAUGAUUGAAUGAUCCAUUAAUAAUGAUUAUAAGAAAAAAUUACCUUAGGGAUAACAGCGUAAUAUUUUUUUUUAGUACGUAUAAAAAAAAAAGUUUGCGACCUCGAUGUUGGAUUAAGAUAAAAUUUAAAUGCAAAAGUUUAAAAUUUUGAUCUGUUCGAUCAUUAAAAUCUU
rnacentral:rRNA from 1 species